CUGCGGUGUCUCCCAAUGCCAUCAGUGCAGCCUCAGAAGAAAUUAUUUCAUUUCAUGAAGUGGACAUUGUAACACCAUCACAGAAGUUAUUGGCUAGAAAACUCUCGUGCAAUGUGGUACAAGGGAAAAGCCUUCUUCUGACUGGUCCCAAUGGUAGUGGAAAGAGUUCUAUUUUUAGAGUGCUCAGGGAUCUGUGGCCCACCGUCUUUGGGAGAGUUAUCAAGCCCUCAGAAGGUAUGUUCCAUGUUCCUCAGCUGCCAUAUACCAGUCUGGGUACUCUGCGGGAUCAGAUCAUAUACCCUCUCUCAAGGGAGGAAGCGAAGAUAAAAGUUCUUUCAUUACAUAGAUCUGACUUGGAACUAGCAUGGGAAUAACUGUGAUCACUUCCUCUAGCAUGGGCAUAACUGUGGCCACUUCCUCACAAAGGCCUGCUUUGAUACCCUUCCAUGCCUUGGAGCUGAAGCUCAUUGACGGCGAAGGGAACUGGGAGCUAUGUGCGAUCCAUCAGUGAAUGAUGGUACCCAUUAGGAGUUGAUGCCAUCAAAUACACCGUCAGUUGCAUGUACAAAAGCAAGCAGCUAGCCCCAUUGCCAAUUGCCAUUGUGUAUAGACAAUGCAGACGGUGGCAGCAUUGCUAUGUUGGAAUAUGUAUUCUUGUCAGAAUCUGCCUCACGUUGAGGGUGAUUGUGUAUGUGGUGGGCGCUUCGUUUGCUUUGAGGUGUUUUGGAUAGUAGAGCAGAGGGUUGUGAGUUAGAAGCUGUACCUAUUGAUUGGUAUAUAGUAGCUGGAUAGUAGAGCAGAGGGUUGUGAGUUAGAAGCUGUACCUAUUGAUUUAUUACAUUACAUUAUAUUGAUCCUGUAUAGUAGAUGUAUAUGACAGGCAAGGCAAAAAAAUAAAUAUUUAUAUAAAUCAUUGCGAUGCCUUGCUGACCCUUGCAUGUUUUUGUUCGGGCAAUAA